rnacentral:rRNA from 1 species
UACGAAGGGGGCGAGCGUUGUUCGGAUUUACUGGGCGUAAAGGGCGCGCAGGCGGCGCAUUUUGUCAGGCGUGAAAGCCCCGGGCUUAACCUGGGAACUGCGUUUGAUACGGAUGGGCUAGAGUUCGGGAGAGGAGAGUGGAAUUCCCAGUGUAGAGGUGAAAUUCGUAGAUAUUGGGAAGAACACCGGUGGCGAAGGCGGCUAUCUGGACCGACAUUGACGCUGAGGCGCGAAAGCGUGGGGAGCAAACAGG